rfam:Ipomoea nil DNA, scaffold: scaffold1576, cultivar: Tokyo-kokei standard.
CACUGGAGGCAGCGGUUAAUCGAUCUGUUCCUGAAACUCAAAACUCAAAGGAUAAAUUAGCGUAACAGGAAUCGAUCGAUAAACCUCUGCAUCCAGC